AUCCUUACCUGGCAGGGGAGACACCAUAACCAGCCAGGUGGUUUUCCCAGGGUGAGGCUCAUCCCUUGCACUCCAGGUGUGUUGACCCCUGCAAUUUAUGUAUAUAUUUUUUUUUAGCGACCUGUCAGCCUCACCUCUGUGCCUGGGAAGAUCAUGGAACAGAUCCUCCUAG
rnacentral:snRNA from 10 species